GCACGGAGGCAAUGGCAAUAUCAUAGCCAAUGAGAUUAAUUCAAGGCAUGAUUAUUGCUUAUUGAAAACUUUUCUACUUAGCCUGAGAGUCAGUGUGGUGUAGUGGUUAAGAGCGGUAGUCUCGUAAUCUGGGGAACCAG